CUGAAACAAUGAAGGAUAAAACUGGUGCUAAGGAGGAUCAUCCUCUGAAGCUGGAAGCUUCAAGAUCAGAAGAAGUGGUUGAAGUAAAAGGUUGUCAGGAAACUGCAAAGCCUAACAACACCAGUGAAGCAAUAGUUGAUGAGAAAUCUUCAAAAUCAGAAGAUACUAUUGAAGUGAAGGCUGCUCAGCAUGCCUGUGAAAAUUUGGCACUCAAAGCUCUUACAGAAGCAUUUGAAGCUGUUGGUUAUCCCUGUACUCCUGAAAAUCGACUUUCAUUUGCUGAAGUUGGAAAUCCUGUCAUGGCUUUGGCUGUGUUUUUGGCCAGACUGGUAGGAAGUGAUGUGGCUGUGGCUUCAGCUCGCAGCUCUUUGAAGUCUUUAAAUAGUGAUUCUCCAGGUAUGCAGCUGGCUACAAGGCACUGCUUUCUUUUGGAAGAUCCA
rnacentral:misc_RNA from 1 species